rnacentral:rRNA from 1 species
GACGAGCGCUGGCGGCGUGCCUAAUACAUGCAAGUUGAGCGCUGAAGGUUGGUACUUGUACCAACUGGAUGAGCAGCGAACGGGUGAGUAACGCGUGGGGAAUCUGCCUUUGAGCGGGGGACAACAUUUGGAAACGAAUGCUAAUACCGCAUAAAAACUUUAAACACAAGUUUUAAGUUUGAAAGAUGCAAUUGCAUCACUCAAAGAUGAUCCCGCGUUGUAUUAGCUAGUUGGUGAGGUAAAGGCUCACCAAGGCGAUGAUACAUAGCCGACCUGAGAGGGUGAUCGGCCACAUUGGGACUGAGACACGGCCCAAACUCCUACGGGAGGCAGCAGUAGGGAAUCUUCGGCAAUGGACGAAAGUCUGACCAAGCAACGCCGCGUGAGUGAAGAAGGUUUUCGGAUCGUAAAACUCUGUUGGUAGAGAAGAACGUUGGUGAGAGUGGAAAGCUCAUCAAGUGACGGUAACUACCCAGAAAGGGACGGCUAACUACGUG